GCCGGGGCCCCGAGCCGCCGCUGAGGGGAGAGGAGGGGUGUUCCCGCGCCCCCGGCCCCGGCCCGGGCGGAUGCGCAGCCUCGAGGGCGGCGGAGGCGGCUUUUGCGGCCUCUCCAUGGCUGGGCCCCGGCGGUGAAGGCAGCGGGAGCCGCCUGCGUCCGUGUCUCGCCGGGAGGCAGCGCAGCCACCAGGGGGCGGGCGGGGAGGGGGAUGAGCGCUGCAGCCGCCGCCUCUGCGGGAGUCGCCGCCGCCUGCACCGGGGCCGAGGGCGGCUUCUUCUUUUCCAGCGGCUCCGGUGCGGCGGGGCCCAUGGGGCCCGAAGAGGGCUGCGCCAGCGGGCUUGGAGCCCUGCCCGGAGCCCUGGCGCCGCCGUCGCUGGGCUGCCGGGGCCGCUACCAGCUGCUGCUUUCGGGGAAGGCCCUGGCCGACAGAUACCGGAAGAUUUACACGGCGGCGCUGAGCGACAGGGAGCUGGGGAGUCACCCGGGCAGGAGUAAGAAACUUUUUAGCAAGAAAAAAUUGAAAAGGAAACAGAAGACUAAAUUAAAAGUAAAAACACGCAACAAGUUACUGUAUAGAGGGGACCUUGUCUUUCCUAGUUGAAAAACCAAGCAAGAAGUUAAAUCCGGAACUGCUGUUCUCCACAAGCUUGACAUUCAAACAUAUUUCUUGGAUUUAAUUGCAUUGGAUAAAUGGAUUGGUAGGAUCCCUUCAGAAUGCCCUGAAAAGACACAAAUACAUUAAAGGCUGGUUCUUAUCAGUAGUUACAUAUUUGGCACUUGCUGAUUUGUCUCUGUACCUCAUGCCUAUGAGUGUUGG
rnacentral:lncRNA from 1 species